rnacentral:lncRNA from 1 species
AUAUUCUAUGAAAGGGUUAUUUAUGCUGCGUUUCUCUCGACCUUACCCUGACCUAGAUGACACCCGUGAGUGGGGAGGGAAUGAUCAUUAUAACAGGUACAGUUGGUGACUUGUCGGUGACUCGUUGGUGACUUGUGGUCCUGUUGGUGACUUUGUUCUUCAGAUUGGGUUGUCUCAGAUGACUUUGGGUUUCAGAUGAAUUUGUGGUUCCGAGUUCAAGCCGAAGCUUUGAUCCCGUGAUCCGAGAUGCGCAGCCAGCCAGUCUUGUCUGCAUCAUUUGCAUCAUAGCAUGUUUAUUUUCAAAAAAAUACGCAAUAAAAAAUUGAAAAAAA